GCUAGAAUAGCUCAGUGGUAGAGCAGCUGAUUUGUAAUCAGCCGGUCAGGGGUUCAAAUCCCCUUUCUAGCU
rnacentral:tRNA from 1 species